rnacentral:rRNA from 1 species
UACAGAGGGUGCGAGCGUUGUUCGGAAUUAUUGGGCGUAAAGGGCGCGUAGGCGGUGCGGUAAGUCACCUGUGAAAUCUCCUGGCUCAACUGGGAGCUUGCAGGCGAAACUGCCGUGCUGGAGUGUGGGAGAGGUGCGUGGAAUUCCCGGUGUAGCGGUGAAAUGCGUAGAUAUCUGGAGGAACACCGGUGGCGAAGGCGGCGACCUGGUCCUAUACUGACACUCAUACACGAAAGCGUGGGGAUCAAACAGG